rnacentral:rRNA from 1 species
AUUGAACGCUGGCGGCAGGCUUAACACAUGCAAGUCGAGCGGGGUGAUGGUGCUUGCACUAUCACUUAGCGGCGGACGGGUGAGUAAUGCUUAGGAAUCUGCCUAUUAGUGGGGGACAACAUCUCGAAAGGGAUGCUAAUACCGCAUACGUCCUACGGGAGAAAGCAGGGGAUCACUUGUGACCUUGCGCUAAUAGAUGAGCCUAAGUCGGAUUAGCUAGUUGGUGGGGUAAAGGCCUACCAAGGCGACGAUCUGUAGCGGGUCUGAGAGGAUGAUCCGCCACACUGGGUCUUAGACACGGCACAGACUCCGACGUGAGGCAGCAGUGAGGAAUAUUGGAAAAUGGGGGGAACCCUGAUCCAGCCAUGCCGCGUGUGUGAAGAAUGCCUUAUGGUUGUAAAGCACUUUAAGCGAGGAGGAGGCUCUUUUGGUUAAUACCCAAGAUGAGUGGACGUUACUCGCAGAAUAAGCACCGGCUAACUCUGUGCCAGCCGCCGCAGUAA